rnacentral:rRNA from 1 species
UACGGAGGGUGCGAGCGUUGUCCGGAAUCACUGGGCGUAAAGGGCGCGUAGGCGGCCUGAUAAGUAGGGGGUGAAAUCCUGCGGCUUAACCGCAGGGCUGCCUUCUAAACUGUCAGGCUUGAGCACAGUAGAGGCAGGUGGAAUUCCCGGUGUAGCGGUGGAAUGCGUAGAGAUCGGGAAGAACAUCAGUGGCGAAGGCGGCCUGCUGGGCUGUUGCUGACACUGAGGCGCGACAGCGUGGGGAGCAAACAGG